UCGCUGCGUGGCCCGUGAGUGGCCUUGGAAUCUGUUUGCCCAGAGAUUCCCGUUCGCACCUUCUUCUUCGCUGUCCCCCUCCCACAGGUUUGCUCGGGAACCAGCUCUGCCUCCGACUUAGGCUGGACCCCCAUUCGGGGCCAGGGUUCGCAGAUAUGGAUGUGCCUGCCUCAUGGCUCUCCCGAUUUGCACGGUGACUUGAUUACACGCUCGCAUUCAUGGUCACUUCCGAAGCGCUUUAGUGCCUUCCGUCCCUAAACCACCAAGAACGUGGGCGGCUUCCCCCGCGGUUUGUCAGGGAUCCGCACGUCCCGGAAGGCGCCUUCGUCUUAGCCGGGAUACUGCUCCCCUGCACCCAUUUUGUCGCCCUCUUCACCCCACCCCCCAGCGUUCGGAGGUACCCCCUGCUCCCCUCUGCCUGCGGGCGUCCGAAGUCUCUCCGCAGAGCCAAAGCGCCAGGGCUGCCCACUGCGCCCCGACCCACCGGCCCGCAGGGUCUCUUGGAGCGGAGCACUCGGGAAACCCUGCAAUUCGGGCAAGACUUGGGCUGCUUUGAAGGCGCUGCCAUCCGAGGAGCCUUCUCCUGGGUAUGCUGCACCUUCGGAGGGUCCACCAACCAGCUAGAGGGGGUGCAGAGAAAGUGGAGGGAGGUCAGGAGGGGAAGGAACACAGUGCCAAAGAAAGAAAAGAGACAUCCUAGCAUCUUGAGUGACAAGAACAUCCAGAAAAGGCUAGAAUCGAAUGAGUGAUGUGUGGAGAAGUGAAAGAAGAGGGCAGAAGUGAAGGAAAAGGGCACAAAGCAGCCAGACAGAGCCAGGAGCUGGGAGGAGAUUAAUCCUGUGGCCUCCCCACACCUAUCUUCAUGGAAGGAGCUGGAUGUUGCUGAAGGAAAGUUAAAAGAAAAAAAGAAAGAAAAGAAAGAAAGAAAAGGAAAAAGGAUAACCUUCCCCUGUCCCCCAUCCAGGAAAUAGCCAAAGGCAAUCCAGCAUCAGGACUGAGCCCACCAAAGCCAGUGAAAGACCCCAAGGGGGCGGGUGACUGAGGCCACCCUGGAAGGCCAAGUCCGAGUUGUAGUUCUUGAAGAAGCCACUUCUGGCAAGACUGUGACAUUGGCCCUGGCUGCUGAUUUCCCAUGAACUGUUCUUUCUCCAGAGCUCCUCCGCUUGGGAGCCAUCUCCAAAAAACAGUCUUCAGCGGGUGUUUCCUUUUAUCGUCAUCCUGGAGCUCUAGGGCAGCUAAUGCAAGAGGCCAAAAAUGUUUUGGAGGAAGAAAAACAAAGGCAGGAAGUGGUGGCGGCCUGACGGUGCGUGUACAUCUUUGGAGAAGGGAGGGAGCCUUUUCAAUCUCUUGUUUUUGCAAACUUCAAGGUGCUCCACACAGCCACGGCGGGGGGUGGGGUGGGGAGUGUGCCUCUAGCAUUGCUGCACGCACAGUAUUUGGAGAUGGGCACCCGGAGAGAAAUCAGUGCCCCCCCCAACCUUGUCAGGCAGUCGCGACUAAGGAGGUGAUUUGUUCAGCAAAGCAAACCACUCUUGUCUUCCUUUGAUUUGGCCCCCCAAAUGGAGGGCUG